rnacentral:rRNA from 1 species
UACAGAGGUCUCAAGCGUUGUUCGGAUUCAUUGGGCGUAAAGGGUGCGUAGGUGGCGCCGUAAGUCGGGGGGGAAAUUUCGGAGCUUAACUCCGAAACUGCAUUCGAUACUGCGGUGCUUGAGGACUGGAGAGGAGACUGGAAUUCAUGGUGUAGCAGUGAAAUGCGUAGAGAUCAUGAGGAAGACCAGUGGCGAAGGCGGGUCUCUGGACAGUUCCUGACACUGAGGCACGAAGGCCAGGGGAGCAAACGGG